rnacentral:misc_RNA from 1 species
GAUGAAGAACGCAGCGAAAUGCGAUAAGUAAUGCGAAUUGCAGAAUUCAGUGAGUCAUCGAAUCUUUGAACGCACAUUGCGCCCUGUGGUAUUCCGCAGGGCAUGCCUGUUCGAGCGUCAUUUCAACCCUCAAGCUCUGCUUGGUGUUGGGCCCUGCCCGCUGCGGCCGGCCCUAAAGACAGUGGCGGUGCCGCCUGGCCCUGAGCGUAGUACAUCUCUCGCUCCAGUGCCCGGUGGUAGCCUGCCAGAACCCCAACUCUCGUGGUUGACCUCGGAUCAGGUAGGGAUAACCGCUGAACUUAAGCAUAUCAAUAAGCGGAGGA